GCCGGAGUGGCGGAACUGGCAGACGCAAGGGACUUAAAAUCCCUCGGUGCUUAGCAUCGUACGAGUUCGACCCUCGUCUCCGGCA
rnacentral:tRNA from 1 species